AUUGAACGCUGGCGGCAGGCCUAACACAUGCAAGUCGAGCGGAUGAAGGGAGCUUGCUCCUGGCUUCAGCGGCGGACGGGUGAGUAAUGCCUAGGAAUCUGCCUGGCAGUGGGGGAUAACGUCCGGACACGGGCGCUAAUACCGCAUACGUCCUGAGGGAGAAAGUGGGGGAUCUUCGGACCUCACGCUAUCAGAUGAGCCUAGGUCGGAUUAGCUAGUUGGUGGGGUAAAGGCCUACCAAGGCGACGAUCCGUAACUGGUCUGAGAGGAUGAUCAGUCACACUGGAACUGAGACACGGUCCAGACUCCUACGGGAGGCAGCAGUGGGGAAUAUUGGACAAUGGGCGAAAGCCUGAUCCAGCCAUGCCGCGUGUGUGAAGAAGGUCUUCGGAUUGUAAAGCACUUUAAGUUGGGAGGAAGAGCAGUAAGGUAAUAACUUGCUGUUUUGACGUUACCAACAGAAUAAGCACCGGCUAACUUCGUG
rnacentral:rRNA from 1 species